UACGUAGGUGACAAGCGUUAUCCGGAAUUACUGGGCGUAAAGCGUGCGCAGGCGGCUCCUUAAGUCAGAUGUGAAAGCCCCGGGCUUAACCUGGGAACUGCGUUUGAAACUGGGGGGCUAGAGUGUGGAAGAGGGGGGUGGAAUUCCAGGUGUAGCAGUGAAAUGCGUAGAGAUCUGGAGGAACACCGAUGGCGAAGGCAGCCCCCUGGGCUAACACUGACGCUCAUGCACGAAAGCGUGGGGAGCGAACAGG
rnacentral:rRNA from 1 species